GAUGAAGAACGUAGUGAAAUGCGAUAAGUAAUGUGAAUUGCAGAAUUCAGUGAAUCAUCGAAUCUUUGAACGCACAUUGCGCCCCCUGGUAUUCCGGGGGGCAUGCCUGUUCGAGCGUCAUUUCACCACUCAGGCCUCGCUUGGUAUUGGGCAACGCGGUCCGCCGCGUGCCUCAAAUCGACCGGCUGGGUCUUCUGUCCCCUAAGCGUUGUGGAAACUAUUCGCUAAAGGGUGUUCGGGAGGCUACGCCGUAAAACAACCCCAUUUCUAAGGUUGACCUCGGAUCAGGUAGGGAUACCCGCUGAACUUAAGCAUAUCAAUAAGCGGAGGA
rnacentral:misc_RNA from 1 species